UUUGUCGUAAAUUUCUCCGAGGCAUUGGGAAUAGAAAGAGGAUGCAGGAAAAUAGUUCCAUGUCUUUACCAGCAAUGGGACUUGCCGAAAUCUGUCCGUUAUUACACUCGUCUUGAUUUUACACGCCAAAACCCCUAUUGGGAUUUUUGGGAUAAGAUGAAAAAAUCCCUUGCUGAGCCUUCGGUGCUUCCCAACGAACGAAUGAGUAAACUUGAUGGUUUUACAACUGAGAGUAACCCUGAAAAGAAAGACUUGGCUCAAUCGUCUCCUAACGGAGAAAUUUCCGAGAAAAGCAAAUACUCAUCUGAACCUGUUCCCGCUAUUUGCCCAAAUCCAA